UACGUAGGGUGCGAGCGUUUGUCCGGAAUUACUGGGCGUAAAGAGCUCGUAGGUGGUUUGUCGCGUUGUUCGUGAAAACCGGGGGCUUAACCCUCGGCGUGCGGGCGAUACGGGCAGACUUGAGUUCGGUAGGGGAGACUGGAAUUCCUGGUGUAGCGGUGAAAUGCGCAGAUAUCAGGAGGAACACCGGUGGCGAAGGCGGGUCUCUGGGCCGAUACUGACGCUGAGGAGCGAAAGCGUGGGGAGCAAACAGG
rnacentral:rRNA from 1 species